GCUGGGCAUGGUGGUGCAUGCCUGUAAUCCUAGCACCUCAGGAGGCUGAGGCAGGAGGAUCUCGAGUUCAAAGCCAGCCUCAGCAACUUAGUGAAGCCCUAAGUAACUCUGUGAGAUCUUGUCUCUA
rnacentral:sRNA from 1 species